rnacentral:tRNA from 1 species
GCGCCGGUGGUGUAAGGCGAACAUCGCUACCCGGAAAGCAGAAGAUACGGGUUCGAGUCCCGCCUGGGGCA